rnacentral:rRNA from 1 species
GUACACGCUGUGACUAGCAUAUCAAUAAGCGGAGGAAAAGAAACUAACAAGGAUUCCCCUAGUAACGGCGAGUGAAGCGGGAAGAGCUCAAAUUUGAAAUCUUAAAGGGUUUCCCUUUACGGAAUUGUAGUUUAAAGAAGUGUUUUCUGUUGAGGUUUUGGUAAAAGUUCUUUGGAAUAGGACAUCAUAGAGGGUGAGAAUCCCGUAUUUGACCUUUACUUUCAACUUUGUGAUACACUUUCAAAGAGUCGGAUUGUUUGGGAAUGCAGUCCAAAAUGGGUGGUAAAUUUCAUCUAAAGCUAAAUAUUGGCGAGAGACCGAUAGCGAACAAGUACCGUGAGGGAAAGAUGAAAAGAACUUUGAAAAGAGAGUUAAACAGUACGUGAAAUUGUCAAAAGGGAAGCGUUUGACACCAGUGUUGUUUUUCUGAAAAUCAAUUAAAGAACUGUUUAUGCUAAGCUGUUUAGACUUUAUCAGCUAUCUGUUUAGUUUUGAGCUUUUCUUUAAUGCACUUUUCAGUUAACAAGUCAACAUCAAUUUCUUUUGCUGUAAAAAAGCUUGAGGAGGGUGGCUUGAGAUUCGUCUUAAGUGUUUAUAGCCUCUUGCCUAUGCAGUCGGAGAGAUUGAGGUCUGCAGCGUAGAUCCUUCGGGGCUAAAUGCAUUUGUGCUAAGUUAUAGCAUUUUAUAGACAACUUGUUGACUAUGAUUUGUCUUGUAGCUUACUCGCUUAUGUUAUUUUACCUACGCUUAGGAUGUUGAUAUGCAUGACUGAUAU